AUGGAACAGGAAGGGGACAACAUGGUAUCUCGAUCAGCAUCUGAUAUAGCUGGGGAUGGCAUCCUGCCACAACAACAUGGUCCUGCUGGGGACGGUGAAGAAACAGACCCCACACAAUACUAUGAAAAUAGGCUGAAGAUGCUCGAUUCGCUUAGAAGCGCGGGCGUCGAGCCCUAUCCGCACAAGUUCGAUAUCGCGAUCUCCAUCGCAGACUAUGUGGCCAAGUACAACAGCUUGGGUGCUGGCGAACAUUUGCUGACUGUCACUGAAAGCUUGGCUGGGAGGGUCAUGAGCAAGAGAGUUUCCUCAUCCAAACUCUUCUUUUAUGAUCUCUAUGGCGAUGGGGUGAAGGUUCAAGUCAUGGCUGGGGCCAGCUACUCAGAGGUGGCCGAAACUGAAUUCUACAAGUGCCACAGUGUUGUGAAGCGGGGCGAUAUUGUCGGUAUAAUUGGAUACCCAGGUAGGAGUAGCAGGGGCGAACUUAGCAUAUUUGCCAGAAAUUUAAUAUUGCUCUCCCCAUGCCUCCAUAUGCUACCGAACCAGAGAACUGGGCGUUGCACUGCUGUUGCUGGCAAGACAACAAGAGCAAAAGCUGAUGCUGAUUGUUGGGUUCCAGGAAUAGGAAGGAACACUGAAGCUUAUGUUUUAAAGGACCAGGAAACUCGCUACCGCCAGAGAUAUCUCGACCUCAUGGUAAACCAUCAAGUGAGACAUAUCUUUAGAACACGAUCCAGGGUCAUUUCCUUCAUCAGAAGGUUCCUCGAUGAACGCAACUUUUUGGAGGUUGAGACACCAAUGAUGAACUUGAUUCCUGGGGGAGCAUCUGCAAAACCUUUUGUUACACAUCACAACGAACUAAACAUGGAUCUCUACAUGAGAAUUGCUCCUGAACUCCAUCUGAAGCAGUUGGUUGUGGGUGGCUUGGACCGUGUUUAUGAGAUUGGAAAGCAAUUCAGGAAUGAAGGGUUUGAUUUAACUCACAGUCCUGAAUUUACAGGAUGUGAAUUCUAUAUGGCUUAUGCAGACUACAAUGACCUGAUGGAGCUUACUGAAACCAUUUUGUCGGGUAUGGUGAUGGAGCUGACUGGUAGUACUAAGAUAAAAUACCAUGCGAAUGGAGCUGAUAACCCUCCCAUAGAGAUCGAUUUCACACCUCCUUACAGAAGGAUAGAUAUGAUGCAGGCACUGAAAUCUAUCGCUGGGCUUGACAUUCCAUCAGAUUUGUCAAGCGACGAGGCUAACAAAUACCUCGCGACAACGUGUGAGAAGUAUGGAAUCAGAUGCUCGCCGCCUCAAACAACAGCACGGUUGCUUGACAAGAUUACUGGGCAUUUCCUGGAGGCCACAUGUGUGAACCCAACUUUUAUCAUCAAUCAUCCAGAGAUAAUGAGCCCACUGGCCAAAUGGCACAGGACUCAGUCAGGACUGACAGAAAGAUUCGAGUUAUUCAUCAACAAGCAUGAGGUAUGCAAUGCCUACACCGAGUUGAACGAUCCAUUGGUGCAAAGACAACGAUUUCAAGAGCAGCUGAGGAGUCGGCAAUCGGGAGACGACGAAGCGAUGGCGCUCGAUGAGGCGUUCUGCACUGCUCUCGAGUAUGGUUUGCCACCAACGGGCGGUUGGGGGAUGGGAAUUGAUCGGAUCGCAAUGCUUCUAACGGACUCGCAGAACAUCAAGGAGGUUCUUCUAUUCCCAACGAUGAAGCCCCAACUACCUGGGUAG
rnacentral:rRNA from 1 species